UAAAAAUAACAGUUAUUUCCAGGAGCUCCUGUUUUUUGAAAACAACUGAUCUGUCUUUUAUAAAUCUGAUAUAAAAGACUCUUCUGAGAUUUGAAGGAUGCACACUACUAUUCGAUAGGUAGGCUACUUAAGUUUAACCAAACUGUUCGUGGACCCCGUUUACUUCCAUAGUAUUACUUUUCCAAUUCCUGCUAUAGAAGUGAAUGGGAUCCAAAGACAUUUAUGCAGGUUUGUAACAACAUGAGGGUGAGUAAAUGAUGACAGAGUUUUCAUUUUUGGGUGAACUAUUUAACCUUUUACAGCUUAGCAGAAAAAUGUUAUGUGACCUUUAAGAAUAGGAUAAAGUACAUCUUUAACAAAAGCAAAGAUUAAAAAACAAAUUGUAGAAUAAAUAGAAAGUGCUACACAAGUGUAAAACAAUACAAAAUCGUCCCACUAUCACAUGCAGAUGUGUCACUUUGCAAUGGGGCAAUGAUGAAUAGUACACAGAACAACCAAAUAAGUUUUUACGAUUUAUAAACAAUUUAAAGAUAUUUUAAAGUGUUAUGUACUGUUCUAAUUCCAGAGAUGUUUAUUUAUGUAAAUGGUGUGAGGCUUUACCAUGUAUAUAAUAGGCCAAUGGCUAUGCUGUGCACGCGAAACAUGUCCUGCCCCUUUAAAUCACGAAGGGAGUUACCAUGGAAACUGAAGGAGCACGAGGACAGCUAGCUCCGUCUCCCGCGGUUUCUUCGCUGUUUUCAAGAGUGACAAAAACCCUCUAUAAUAGAAGAGAAGCUCAAGAUUUCAACAUUUUCUGAAGGGAGUUGCAGACAGGUGUAGAAAACUGCUUUUCAAAUUUUCCACAUUUAUCACAGUUAUUUUAAGAUGUUGACAUCUAAACAUUGAAUGUUAUGUUUGUAGAUUUGUCCAUGCUAAUGGCCAAGCAGUAGGGUUGGAACAGACCUGUCAGAAAACAUCUCUGAACCAUAUGACUAAUUUCAAAACAAUUUAUUCUUGAGAGGAGGCACCACAGUUAAAGACAGUGUUUUGAAGAAUUUUGAACUUCCUGCUCACAAACUACAUACUUCUCCAGUUAGUCUGACAGGCUAUCAAUGAGAAGGCGGCAUUACAGGACACCACUGAAAACUAUACCACUAAAAACUGAUUAUUGCUGCAGUCAGAAGAAACAGAUUAACAGCAACUAUCUGCUUGAGACAAAGAGAUUGAGCACUGGGUUAAGACAUGGUUGCAGCUUGCCACAGACAGAGAUGAAGGUCGUUGGGCAAAAGAGAAGAUUUAAAGGCAUGGCUCACCCAAAAAUGGAAACUCAUUUACUUACCAUCAAGAUGUUUCAAACUCUAUCAAAUGUAUUUGUUCAGUUACUGACUGUUAUAAAUUAUACAGGUUUGGAACAACCUUUGGGUGAGCAAAAUUACAGUUUUAAUUUUAAUCAGUGAACUAUCCCUAUUGUGAGUUUUAUAAGUUUAUUAAGAAAUGUUGAGUAUUAUAUCAGAGUUUUGUAUGUAAGGAGAUGGUAGUUGUACGUUUGUGUGUUAAUAUAGAUGGUUUCAGUGGCAACAACAUAAAUCACUUUCAUGGCCCAAACUUAACUUCGGGUAGACCUCCACAUAGAUUCAAUAACAACCGAGUAUCUCUGGAGCAGUUUUUUUUCUGAUAACAAACAAAAUAAAUAACCAGUAAAUAGCCUUAGAUCAAAUCAUAGCUAAAGCAUUUCAACCAUUACAUUGAUCUAAUGUUACUGGGUAAAAUUAAGCUUUACAAUUUUAGCUACAGAUCUUUGAAAAUGUUUGUACGGUAUACUGUCCAUUUCCAGAAAGGUAAUAAAAACAGCGUGCACAGUGACGCUGCUGACGUGUUAUCCUCAGACAUGUUUGUGAAGAUUGUUUUGUUUAUAGCGUGCGUCUCCCUCAGACUGUAAAAAAAGCUUGGGAACAAGAAAAAGCUUGGGCAAACAAGAUAACAUGUCAGCAGCGUCACUCCAGUGUUGUGCACGAGGUUCACAACAGACCUGGAAGAGAAGACGAUGCUGAAUAAAGUCAUAAUUUCUGUUAUUUUUGGACCAAAAUUUAUUUUCGAUGCUUCAACACAUUCUAACUGACCCACUGAUAUCACAUGGACUACUUUGAUGAUGUUUUUAUUACCAUUCUGGACAUGUACAGUAUAUAUUUGAUCGUGUAUACACAUAUCUAAAACAUCUUAAACUGUUUCCGAAGAUGAACGGAGGUGUUACGGGUUUGGAAUGACAUGAGGGUCAUUAAUUACAUAAUUUUCAUUUUGGAUGAAAUAACCCUUUAAGUUUGGCCAGGUGUGUAACUGUGGCAACGCACAUGCAUCUAUGGGUUCCAGUAUAUCUUACUAUAUAACAUAUUAAUUUAACUAACAUGUUUGACAAAUAUAAUUAUGUUUAUUUAUAAAUUAUUAUCUGUAUUGGAUUUUUUAAAUGUUUAAUAAAGAAAUUUUGACUAUA